rnacentral:tRNA from 1 species
GGAGAGGUGGCCGAGUGGCUUAAGGCGGUGGUCUUGAAAACCAUUUGGGGUUACCCACGCAGGUUCGACUCCUGUCCUCUCCGCCA